UACGGGGGGAGCAAGCGUUGUUCGGAUUUACUGGGCGUAAAGGGCGGGUAGGCGGCCACCGCAAGUCAGUUGUGAAAUCUCUGGGCUUAACCCAGAAAGGUCAACUGAUACUGCGGGGCUAGAGUGCAGAAGGGGCAACUGGAAUUCUCGGUGUAGCGGUGAAAUGCGUAGAUAUCGAGAGGAACACCUGCGGCGAAGGCGGGUUGCUGGGCCGACACUGACGCUGAUGCGCGAAAGCCAGGGGAGCGAACGGG
rnacentral:rRNA from 1 species